rnacentral:lncRNA from 1 species
GGAGAAGGAGCCAGAAAGGUGGUGACAUACUUUUCCUUUCAUGGGGAAACAGUCUAAUGGAGAGAAGGACAAGUAAGAAACCACAAAGUGUAUUUUGGUAAGUGUUUUGAGAGGAGCUCUAGAGGCUCAAAGGAGGAGUUGUUGGUUGGGUCCCCUGAGAAAGCAGGCCUUGAAAUAAGGACUUGAAUAGAAUUAGUUUAUUUGGGAAAUGAUUACAGGGAACACUAGUAGGGAGUGAGGAAGCAAGACAGGAAAGAGACAGAGUCAAUUAAAGGUGCGUUGUCCAGCAAGUUCCCACCUGGCUGGCUGAAGCCUAAUCCAACUGGGGAAGUUUGGGAAAUGGUGUAAGACACAGUCUCAAAUUUAUCACACCUAAAGGAGAGGGAUUUGGAGUAUUUAUAACUGCCAGCAGUCCUUGGUUGCAGUCUAUUCAGAAAGGUAUUAAUUCUCUUACGCUUAUGAUUUGCAAAGGAAAAGAAAGUCCUCAGACCAAAACAAUAACAGCAACAACCAAAAACUGUUUUCAUUUGGAAGGAGGACCAAAAGGAAGGAAUAAGGGUCAGGCACUGACUCUACAGAUACUCAGACUCAAAGCUCACUGGAGAGCAGAAUGAG